rfam:Triticum aestivum genome assembly, contig: Triticum_aestivum_CS42_TGACv1_scaffold_640767_T_3B-0.156863_7BS-0.147593
UUUAUACUCCCUCCGUCCCAAAAUUCUUGUCUUAAAUUUGUCCAAAUACGGAUGUAACAAAUCACGUUUUAGUAUUAGAUACAUCCGUAUCUAGAUAAAUAUAAGACAAUAAUUUAGGGAUGGAGGGAGUACAAC